GGUGAACGCUGGCGGCGUGCCUAAUACAUGCAAGUCGAGCGAACGGACGAGAAGCUUGCUUCUCUGAUGUUAGCGGCGGACGGGUGAGUAACACGUGGAUAACCUACCUAUAAGACUGGGAUAACUUCGGGAAACCGGAGCUAAUACCGGAUGAUAUUUUGAACCGCAUGGUUCAAAAGUGGAAGACGGUCUUGCUGUCACUUAUAGAUGGAUCCGCGCUGCAUUAGCUAGUUGGUAAGGUAACGGCUUACCAAGGCAACGAUGCAUAGCCGACCUGAGAGGGUGAUCGGCCACACUGGAACUGAGACACGGUCCAGACUCCUACGGGAGACAGCAGUAGGGAAUCUUCCGCAAUGGGCGAAAGCCUGACGGAGCAACGCCGCGUGAGUGAUGAAGGUCUUCGGAUCGUAAAACUCUGUUAUUAGGGAAGAACAUAUGUGUAAGUAACUGUGCACAUCUUGACGGUACCUAAUCAGAAAGCCACGGCUAACUACGUG
rnacentral:rRNA from 1 species